rnacentral:rRNA from 1 species
CAGCCGUAAACAAUGUGCGUUAGGUGUGUCGGUAACCACGUGUUACUGAUGCGCCGAAGAGAAAUCGUGAAACGCACCACCUGGGAAGUACGGUCGCAAGGCUGAAACUUAAAGGAAUUGGCGGGGGAGCACCACAACAGGUGGAGCCUGCGGUUUAAUUGGAUUCAACGCCGGACAUCUCACCGGAUAAGACAGCUGAAUGAUUGUCAAUCUGAAGGUUUUACAUGACUAGCUGAGAGGAGGUGCAUGGCGUAGACCGUCU